rnacentral:rRNA from 1 species
UACGGAGGGGGCUAGCGUUGUUCGGAAUUACUGGGCGUAAAGCGCGCGUAGGCGGCUUUGCAAGUUAGAGGUGAAAGCCCGGGGCUCAACCCCGGAAUUGCCUUUAAAACUGCAUCGCUAGAAUUGUGGAGAGGUAAGUGGAAUUCCGAGUGUAGAGGUGAAAUUCGUAGAUAUUCGGAAGAACACCAGUGGCGAAGGCGACUUACUGGACACAUAUUGACGCUGAGGUGCGAAAGCGUGGGGAGCAAACAGG